ACAUUAAAGAGUCCACACGUUUAUGAAUUGUUUAUCAAUGUUCCCUUGAGAAAUAUUAUAAAAGGACUUAGCAUGUAAGCUUAUUGAUUAACAUAAUCACCUCAUAUAAUAGAAUUAGUUCCCUUUUCUCCAAUUUGAUCUCCAUGAAUCACAAAGCAUUACUCUUAGCUUGUUUUGUCAUAAUCCUCUGUCUAUCCUCAACAACCUAUGGGAGAUUACCAGGUUAUAGAUGCAGUGACUAUAAAUUUCGAGAAGAAUCGUGUCCACCACGUAGAUCCCUCUUUGUUAAAUUAACUAUGUUGGGACCAAUUAAACCCAUUGGACCUGAAAUUUCAACAUCGCCAUCUGAUCAUGGACCAUAAGCAGAGAUUGAGUAACAAAAAAAUUCUAUUGAGCAAGAAUUUUAUAUUAUAUUUAUGUUUAAUUAUAUAUGGUGUUGGAGUUAAACAAUUGUAUUCCAUGAUAUAUCUUCAAUGGAAUUAAGCUACUAAAUAAAGAAUACUUAUGUUACUCAAGUUGAAUUAUGCUUGCAAUUUGUAAUUAAUAAGGAAUUAAUACUUGUGUUAAUUAAGGGUAAUUAUCACUUUUAGUUCUUCAAAUAAUUGGUAAAUUUUGAUUUUGGAAAUUGUGAUUUCUGGUAUAAGCAUGUUUAACCUUUAAUUUAAUGGUAUUGCACACUUUUGGUC